rnacentral:rRNA from 1 species
CCUACGGGAGGCAGCAGUGGGGAAUAUUGGACAAUGGGGGCAACCCUGAUCCAGCCAUGCCGCGUGUGUGAAGAAGGCCCUCGGGUUGUAAAGCACUUUCAGUGAGGAAGAACGCCUGGUGGUUAAUACCCAUCAGGAAAGACAUCACUCAUAGAAGAAGCACCGGCUAACUCCGUGCCAGCAGCCGCGGUAAUACGGAGGGUGCGAGCGUUAAUCGGAAUUACUGGGCGUAAAGCGCGCGUAGGUGGCUUGAUAAGCCGGUUGUGAAAGCCCCGGGCUCAACCUGGGAACGGCAUCCGGAACUGUCAAGCUAGAGUGCAGGAGAGGAAGGUAGAAUUCCCGGUGUAGCGGUGAAAUGCGUAGAGAUCGGGAGGAAUAGCAGUGGCGAAGGCGGCCUUCUGGACUGACACUGACACUGAGGUGCGAAAGCGUGGGUAGCAAACAGGAUUAGAUACCCUGGUAGUC